CAGCCGCCGCGGUAAUACGUAGGGGGCGAGCGUUGUCCGGAAUUAUUGGGCGUAAAGCGCGCGCAGGCGGUCCUUUAAGUCUGAUGUGAAAGCCCACGGCUCAACCGUGGAGGGUCAUUGGAAACUGGGGGACUUGAGUGCAGGAGAGGAGAGCGGAAUUCCACGUGUAGCGGUGAAAUGCGUAGAGAUGUGGAGGAACACCAGUGGCGAAGGCGGCUCUCUGGCCUGUAACUGACGCUGAGGCGCGAAAGCGUGGGGAGCAAAAAGGAUUAGAUACCCUGGUAGUCCACGCCGUAAACGAUGAGUGCUAAGUGUUAGAGGGGUCACACCCUUUAGUGCUGCAGCUAACGCGAUAAGCACUCCGCCUGGGGAGUACGGCCGCAAGGCUGAAACUUAAAGGAAUUGGCGGG
rnacentral:rRNA from 1 species